rnacentral:rRNA from 1 species
UACGGAGGGUGUGAGCGUUGUUCGGAAUCACUGGGCGUAAAGGGCGUGUAGGCGGUCCGCUAAGUCUGAUGUGAAAGCCCGGGGCUCACCCCCGGAAGGGCGUUGGAAACUGACGGACUCGAGUCCCGAAGAGGAGGGUGGAAUUCCUGGUGUAGCGGUGAAAUGCGUAGAUAUCAGGAGGAACACCGGUGGCGAAGGCGGCCCUCUGGACGGUGACUGACGCUGAGACGCGAAAGCGUGGGGAGCAAACAGG